CGCAAUGAUAAAAGGGGUAAAAAUCAAAUAAUUUCAUUAAAUCUGCAUGACAAAAUUUGUUUGGGGGUAGUAAACAACCUAUGUUUCAAUGAGGGGGGAUAGGAGGGGUCCUGAUCCCGAAAUCCCGGACUUAAAAAAACGAAAUCCUGAGGUCCCGAAUUUAAAUAAAGUAAAUCCCGACGUCCCGAAAUCCGAAAAAAAGAAUUCCCGGAUCCCGAAAGGGUCAAUCCCGAAAUCCCGAGCUUAAAAACACCCGAUCCCGGAGUCCCGAUAAAGGUCCUAUCCCCCCUCUUCAAUGUUUAACACCACAGAAUAACUUUUCUGUGCAUUUAUAACAUUAUUUAGGACAUUUUUUAUAUAAAAGCAUAUUGUCAGGAUGGGAAAAGCUAAAAAUAGCACAAACUCAAGUUUUAGG
rnacentral:lncRNA from 1 species